CCUACGGGAGGCAGCAGUGGGGAAUUUUGGACAAUGGGCGCAAGCCUGAUCCAGCAAUGCCGCGUGCAGGAUGAAGGCCUUCGGGUUGUAAACUGCUUUUGUACGGAACGAAAAAGUCUGCCCUAAUACGGCGGGCCCAUGACGGUACCGUAAGAAUAAGCACCGGCUAACUACGUGCCAGCAGCCGCGGUAAUACGUAGGGUGCGAGCGUUAAUCGGAAUUACUGGGCGUAAAGCGUGCGCAGGCGGUUAUAUAAGUCAGAUGUGAAAUCCCCGGGCUCAACCUGGGACCUGCAUUUGAGACUGUAUAGCUAGAGUACGGUAGAGGGGGAUGGAAUUCCGCGUGUAGCAGUGAAAUGCGUAGAUAUGCGGAGGAACACCGAUGGCGAAGGCAAUCCCCUGGACCUGUACUGACGCUCAUGCACGAAAGCGUGGGGAGCAAACAGGAUUAGAUACCCUGGUAGUCCACGCCCUAAACGAUGUCAACUGGUUGUUGGGUCUUCACUGACUCAGUAACGAAGCUAACGCGUGAAGUUGACCGCCUGGGGAAGUACGGCCGCAAGGUUGAAACGUUAAAGGAAUUGACGG
rnacentral:rRNA from 1 species